AGUGAACGCUGGCGGUAGGCCUAACACAUGCAAGUCGAACGGCAGCACAGUAAGAGCUUGCUCUUACGGGUGGCGAGUGGCGGACGGGUGAGGAAUACAUCGGAAUCUACUUUUUCGUGGGGGAUAACGUAGGGAAACUUACGCUAAUACCGCAUACGACCUACGGGUGAAAGCAGGGGAUCUUCGGACCUUGCGCGAUUGAAUGAGCCGAUGUCGGAUUAGCUAGUUGGCGGGGUAAAGGCCCACCAAGGCGACGAUCCGUAGCUGGUCUGAGAGGAUGAUCAGCCACACUGGAACUGAGACACGGUCCAGACUCCUACGGGAGGCAGCAGUGGGGAAUAUUGGACAAUGGGCGCAAGCUGAUCCAGCCAUACCGCGUGGGUGAAGAAGGCCUUCGGGUUGUAAAGCCCUUUUGUUGGGAAAGAAAAGCAGCAGGUUAAUACCCCGCUGUUCUGACGGUACCCAAAGAAUAAGCACCGGCUAACUUCGUG
rnacentral:rRNA from 1 species